UACGUAGGGUGCGAGCGUUGUCCGGAAUUAUUGGGUCGUAAAGAGCUCGGUAGGCGGUGUGUCACGUCGGCCGGUGAAAACCCUGCAGCUUAACUGUGGGCGUGCGGUCGAUACGGGCAUCACUGGAGUUCGGCAGGGGAGACUGGAAUUCCUGGUGUAGCGGUGAAAUGCGCAGAUAUCAGGAGGAACACCGGUGGCGAAGGCGGGUCUCUGGGCCGAUACUGACGCUGGAGGAGCGAAAGCCGUGGGGAGCAAACAGG
rnacentral:rRNA from 1 species